rnacentral:ncRNA from 2 species
AAUAAUGAACGCUGAUGAGGUCCCGGAAAGCGGCGCAGCGCCGCUUCUUCGGGUGAAAAGGGAAGCCGGUGCAAAUCCGGCACGGUCCCGCCACUGUAAAACAGGUAUGUCCCGAUAUGCCACUGUUCCGCCACGAAGGCGGGAUGGGAAGGCCGGGACGAUAUCGCCCCGCCUGUAAGUCAGGAGACCUGCCUCAUGAGCUUAAUGACG